GGCCCGGUAGCUCAGAGGUAGAGCUCCUUUUGUUGUGUGGAAGCGACUAGCAAUCACUACGAGGAGGUCGCAGGUUCGAAUCCUGCCCGUUGGCUA